ACCGCCUCCCGGUGCAAGAUUUUCUUGCUGUGUUGAAGACUCAUUGGUAGCCUUGGGCUGUUUUCUGCUCUUUGGUCGGGUUGUUGUCUCUUUGACUCAUUCCCUGUUUUCAUUCUCAAUUUUAUUACUCUCCUUAUAUUGAUUUAUAGGAGUGGGUCCUGGUGCUUAUAUCAAAUGACACACACACAAACACAAAAAAAAAUGUUUAUUGCUUUUUUUUUAACAAAUACACAAAUUUUCCUGAAAUACACAAGGUCUACGUAAUUUAAGGGAAACAUAGCAAUUAUCAUUUCUUAACGACUAGCAUGAAAGACUAAAGCUACCAAUAUAUAUAUUUUGGAAUUGUGAAUAAAUAUGAAAAUAAAAAUAUUCAUAUUAUUGAAAUACUGAAAAACGCUGAUAGAUGCAAAUAUGACAUGAUAGAAGACACAUUUAUUCAUAUUUCAUUAAUAUACAUAAUGCAAAUUAUUUGUAUCCUGCAAAUUAAAUCUUCAAUAUAUAUAUAAAAAAUUCAAGUAAUCUUGAUUCCAAAUGGAUGAAAUAUGACAGGACUGGCAAUACCAUAAACUGGCCCAUGCAAAUUAUGAGCCUAAAUGUAAAAACUAUAUAUACAGGGAAUUAAAAAAGAUCAGUCAUUACUUAAUAGAAAAGAAAGAAGUAUGAUUGCUUAUGAGAAGACCAAAUGAAUGGAUGUAAGGAAUUAUAGGAAACUGCAUGACCUUGAACAAUGAGCAAAUCCCACAAGUAUAUAUUUUCAAUUUCAUCUAUUUCUAAUAAAAUAUAAACAUUAUAUAAAUAUAAAUAUAAACACAAUGGCAAGAUAUAAUUGCUUCAGAAUGACCUCAAUUUUGUUUUCUACUAAAUAACCUCAAUUGUUAUACAACUGUAGACAUAUUAAUUAACCAGUAAAUAUCUAUCAUUUGCCUGUUGGAUUUAUUUCAGCCCACCAUUUUUUUUUUAAUUGUCUUGUAAAAAAUUAUAUCUAGCUACCAACUGUUUUCAAGAUUUAUGGAUAUUUCUUAUUUCCUUUUUUUAUUUUAAUUGAGACAUAUUACAAGUUCAAUUCCAAAAACUGUCAUUUAAUUUAUAACAUAUAAAGAUCUCCUUCAGGCAUCUUUAUAGUUUUCAAAUGCCAAGGUCUACACAAGAGUGCACACGCUGAAAUGUCUCGCCUUCUUUACUAAUCAUUGAUAUUAUGUUGAUAGUCCUAAAUAUAAAGCUUUACUACAACUAUCACAUACACUUAACAUGAUCCAAGAAAAUGAGGUCAAGGUCAUAUAAACCAAACAAGAAAUACAUGUACACCUUACAAUCAUUCAAUACACUAAAUAUAGUUGACCUAUUGUUUAUAGUUUCUAAGAUACAGACUUAACCAAGAAAACUAAACAUUGACCAAUGAACCAAGAAAAUGAGGUCAAGGUCAGAUGAACAAUGCCAGGCAGACAUGUACUACAGCUUGCAAUCCUUCCAUACAACAAAUAUAGUUGACCUAUUGCUUAUAGUAUUAGAAAAACAGACCAAAACACAAAAAACUUAACACUGAGCAAUGAACCGUGAAAAUGAGGUCAAGGUAAAAAAAACCUGCAAGACUGACAGGUACAUCAUAAGAUAUUUCCAUACACCAAAUAUAGAUGACCUAUUGCAUAAAGUAUUAGAAAAAAAGACCAAAACUCAAAAACUUAACUUUGACCACUGAACCAUGAAAAUGAGGUCAAGGUCAGAAGACACCUGCCCGCUAGACAUGUACACCUUACAAUCAUUCCAUACACCAAAUAUAGUAGACCUAUGGCAUACAGUAUAGGUAAAACAGACCAAAACACAAAAACUUAACUAUAACCACUGAACCAUGAAAAUGAGGUCAAGGUCAGAUGACACCUGCCAGUUGGACAUGUACACCUUACAGUCCUUCCAUACACCGAAUAUACUAGACCUAUUGCUUAUAGUAUCUGAGAUAUGGACUUGACCACCAAAACUUAACCUUGUUCAUUGAUCCAUGAAAUGAGGUUGAGGUCAAGUGAAAACUGUGUGACGGGCAUGAGGACCUUGCAAGGUACGCACAUACCAAAUAUAGUUGAACUAUUGCAUAUAGUAUUAGAAAAAAAGACCAAAACUCAAAAACUUAACUUUGACCACUGAACCAUGAAAAUGAGGUCAAAGUCAGAUGACACCUGCCCGCUAGACAUGUACACCUUACAAUCAUUCCAUACACCAAAUAUAAUAGACCUAUGGCAUACAGUAUAAGAAAAACAGACCAAAACACAAAAACUUAACUAUAACCACUGAACCAUAAAAAUGAGGUCAAGGUCAGAUGACACCUGCCAGUUGGACAUGUACACCUUACAGUCCUUCCAUACACCGAAUAUACUAGACCUAUUGCUUAUAGUAUCUGAGAUAUGGACUUGACCACCAAAACUUAACCUUGUUCAUUGAUCCAUGAAAUGAGGUCGAGGUCAAGUGAAAACUGUGUGACGGGCAUGAGGACCUUGCAAGGUACGCACAUACCAAAUAUAGUUGAACUAUUGCAUAUAGUAUUAAAAAAAAAAGACCAAAACUCAAAAACUUAACUUUGACCACUGAACCAUGAAAAUGAGGUCAAAGUCAGAUGACACCUGCCCGCUAGACAUGUACACCUUACAAUCAUUCCAUACACCAAAUAUAAUAGACCUAUGGCAUACAGUAUAAGAAAAACAGACCAAAACACAAAAACUUAACUAUAACCACUGAACCAUGAAAAUGAGGUCAAGGUCAGAUGACACCUGCCAGUUGGACAUGUACACCUUACAGUCUUUCCAUACACCGAAUAUACUAGACCUAUUGCUUAUAGUAUCUGAGAUAUGGACUUGACCACCAAAACUUAACCUUGUUCACUGAUCCAUGAAAUAAGGUCGAGGUCAAGUGAAAACUGUGUGACGGGCAUGAGGACCUUGCAAGGUACGCACAUACCAAAUAUAGUUAUCCUAUUACUUAUAAUAAGAGAGAAUCUAACAUUACAAAAAAUCUUAACUUUUUUUUCAAGUAGUCACUGAACCAUGAAAAUGAGGUCAAGGACAUUGGACAUGUGACUGACGGAAACUUCGUAACAUGAGGCAUCCAUAUACAAAGUAUGAAGCAUCCAGACCUUCCACCUUCUAAAAUAUAAAGCUUUUAAGAAGUUAGCUAACGCCGCCGCCGCCGGAUCACUAUCCCUAUGUCGAGCUUUCUGCGACAAAAGUCGCAGGCUCAACAACAAACCAAGCCAUGUGAUUGAUAUACAAGUAUUUUAAAUGUUAAACAGUUUCUAAAAAGCAAUUUGUUUUAAUACGUGACAAUU